GCCCCUGUAACUCAAUUGGUUAGAGUGUCGGUCUUAUGAGCCGAAAGUUGCGGGUUCAAGUCCCGCCAGGAGCA
rfam:Ectocarpus siliculosus strain Ec 32, whole genome shotgun sequence assembly, chromosome LG13